rnacentral:rRNA from 1 species
GCGUAACGCGUAUACAAUCUACCUUUUACAGGGGAUAGCCCAGAGAAAUUUGGAUUAAUACCCCAUGGCAUAUAUUUAUGGCAUCAUAUAUAUAUUAAAGAUUCAUCGGUAAGAGAUGAGUAUGCGUUCUAUUAGCUAGUAGGUGCGGUAACGGCGCACCUAGGCUACGAUAGAUAGGGGCCCUGAGAGGGGGAUCCCCCACACUGGUACUGAGACACGGACCAG